AGAGUUUGAUCCUGGCUCAGGAUGAACGCUAGCGGCAGGCUUAAUACAUGCAAGUCGUGGGGCAGCGCGGGUAGCAAUACCUGGCGGCGACCGGCAAACGGGUGCGGAACACGUACGCAACCUUCCUUUAAGCGGGGAAUAGCCCAGGGAAACUUGGAUUAAUACCCCAUAAGACAGUGGAGUGGCAUCACUCAGCUGUUAAAGCUCCGGCACUUAAAGAUGGGCGUGCGGCUGAUUAGGUAGUUGGCGGGGUAACGGCCCACCAAGCCGACGAUCAGUAACUGGUGUGAGAGCACGACCAGUCACACGGGCACUGAGACACGGGCCCGACUCCUACGGGAGGCAGCAGUAAGGAAUAUUGGUCAAUGGACGGAAGUCUGAACCAGCCAUGCCGCGUGGAGGAUGAAGGCCCUCUGGGUUGUAAACUUCUUUUAUCUGGGACGAAACACUUCCUUUCUAGGGAGCUUGACGGUACCAGGUGAAUAAGCACCGGCUAACUCCGUGCCAGCCGCCGCGGUAAUAC
rnacentral:rRNA from 1 species